AGCUCAGUGGAUAGAGUGUUUGUUUCCUAUGCAGAAGGUCGUAGGUUUUAUCCCUAC
rfam:Triticum aestivum genome assembly, contig: Triticum_aestivum_CS42_TGACv1_scaffold_542881_6DS